AUUGCCGCCCUCCUCUCCUCUCCCGCGCGCGUAUGGAAACGUCACCGUACCCUUCGUAUCCCACGCCAGAGCGGUUCCGCUUCAUAUACCGGACCGACUCCGAGAGUCCCCAGCGCCGACGUUGCUGAUCCCAUCGCCCAGAUCGUGAAGGACUCGAAGACACAACCGCGCGGUGGCUUGCCGAGUUCGUCAAGUCCGUGAAGGACUCGCCAAGUUCGUCAAGGACUCGUAGAUCCCAUCGCCACAUUCCAGAGAUCUCUCCCGUUCCUUUGAGAGUUGAUCUUUGUGUCUGUGGAAGAGAGGGCCGAUGGGAAGAACGACCUAGUUCUUGGAGUAGAUGGCCGCCACAGCUGCAGGUUUCUGUUUACUGUCCGUGCUGGAAGAGAAGCUCGAAGAAAGACUGCCGCAUGUGCUCGAGAUCGAUGACGGCGGCUGCAAGGGAAGCCGCGGCCUGGCGAAGAAGGCGAAUAGUCACGCGCGGACUCGCGAGUCGCAGAGAAGAACCGCGGUCGCAGGCGGCGCGUGCGCGAAUAGAGCCUCGGUCGCCCGUGCUGCUGGAAAAAUUAGUUGAUGGAGGUUUGGAAGUGGGGCCUACUUUUUUAUUUUUAUCAAGCUCAUAUGGCAAACUAUUGGAUAGACUACAAAAUUACACUUGUUAUAUGUUUUAGCAACUUGACAAAUCACAAGAUUUGGCAAGUGAAUUUUGGCAAA